CUCAUUUAUGGGUUGGUAGUGGAGAGGAGGUCACCUGUAGAUUCCUGACUACCUGAGGGCUUCAUAGGUCUUCUGAAGGGAUCAUCAAGUCAAGCUCCUGAUUCCAGAAACUACCUCCCAGAAAUCAAAGUGUGUGUCUGAGAGUGUUGUCCUCUAUGAGAAGAGACCCCCAUCAGUGUUGUUCUGGGAAGGUUAUCCAUGCCAGAUGUUUGCAGUAAUAAAUGGAGCCUAUGAAUCUUAAUACAGAUAUAGGAAUCUGCAGCGUGGACCUCUACGGCUAAAGGAAAUGAAUCCUGAUCAAACUACACUAAUAAUAAGAAGUUAGCAGAGAAUUUUCCAAACAGAACAUUUAUCAUGUCUACAGUAAUGUUACACAGUGGUCCAAGGAGGUUGUAGAACUGCUAAAAAGAUUCAAGAUUAUAAUACCAUUUUCCCACUGGAAAGGGGAUUGUUGGAAAAAACAUCUGCUUAGAAAAGACCUAAUUUUCACCUUUCUCAUCAUCACAUUAGUGCUGUUUUUUGUAUGCAGCUGCACAAUCUCAAAAUGUUGUCUGCCAAAUUGCUGUACUUUUGGCUUAUUCUUUCGGUUUAGAGAUUGGGAUUUAAAGGUGUAAUUAUUAAACUAUUGGGAAGUAUUGUUUUAAUAGAAGACACAUAGAAUUUACUGCAAGUUGUCAGGUUUGAUAAUCCUGGCAAGCAAAAGACUUCUCACUUUUCAAGUAAUAACUUGAAUACAUUUAUCUUCUUAAUAAGGCCCUCAAAUACUGUACCAUGUUUCCAAGCUCCUCCAUUGCAGUGAUGACGUGUAUAGGAAGGAGAACUAUGGUAGUGACUGUGCAGUUAUUCUAUGUUUAAAAAUGGUUUGUGAGGGAUUUCUAGGACUUUUGUACCCUGAAACAUAGGAAGCUUCAUAUUUUGAAACAUCUCCCCCCUUCCUGCUGCACCUGAGAAUGGUUCCUUGUUUGAAUCUCCCUUGAACUGUCUAGAUUUUUUUUUUUUUUGUAAUCUUGGAGCUGACUGUCAUAGUGAGCCAAUAA